UUUUGCCAACCACUGAUGAACUUUAUAUUAUGGCAUUCAAAAACUUGGCUGCUAUCUCAAAGGACAAGAAAGAAAAGGUCAAUAUCACACGUUUGGGUCAAAAUAAUUCUUUGGGGGCAUUUGUUACUUACAGUGACAGCACGUGAACAUUACAAUGACUUAACUUGUUCAACAGUAUUUAACUUCUUCAGGCGUAGCAACUACUUUAUGUACAUAGUUGUAUGCCGUUGUCCUCCAGUACUUAGUUUUCAUAGUACAUGUAUAGGUACGGCUUUUCAAAUAAAUAAAAAAAUCUAGACGACAUUGUCUAGUGAAAAAACCCUGGUUAUCUCCAUACCUUAUUCUUUAACAAUAUAUAUCAAUUCAAAUUUUCAGAUGAUAUUCGCAGCGGCGCCUCCUUGAGUGCCGGAAGUUAUCCACUGACUAUCACUGCCACCGACCGCUGCGGCGACACCGCUACCGCUACAGUCACCGUUACGAAUACAGCCCCGGUGUUUGUUCCGGUUUCUCUUCUGACCGUUCACCCGACCCCGAUCAGUGACGUCACGACAACGGCUAGGUCUCUCUAUGCAUUUGACGUCACGGACACGAACCCAAUUACGUGCACAGUCGAUAACACCAAGUUUGAAAUCAAAACGGUUGGAUCAGCCUACGAACUUUGGCUGAAGGCGGGGUCAGCGAGUACGCUGAAUCAUGACGUCACCGCUGUAGAAUCCAUGACGAUCACGUGCAGUGACGGGACGGACCAAAUCACCAGCAGUUACAAGGUGGAUAUUUCGGACGCGG